GCGGGAGUAGCUCAGCGGUAGAGCUCCGCCCUUCCAAGGCGGUUGUCGCGGGUUCAAAUCCCGUCUCCCGCUCCA
rnacentral:tRNA from 1 species